rnacentral:rRNA from 1 species
ACGAAGAGGUGCUUGCACCUCUGGCGUCGAGCGGCGGACGGGUGAGUAAUGCUUGGGAAUAUGCCUUAUGGUGGGGGACAACAGUUGGAAACGACUGCUAAUACCGCAUGAUGUCUACGGACCAAAGUGGGGGACCUUCGGGCCUCACGCCAUAAGAUUAGCCCAAGUGGGAUUAGCUAGUUGGUGAGGUAAUGGCUCACCAAGGCGACGAUCCCUAGCUGGUUUGAGUGGAUGAUCAGCCACACUGGGACUGAGACACGGCCCAGACUCCUACGGGAGGCAGCAGUGGGGAAUAUUGCACAAUGGGCGCAAGCCUGAUGCAGCCAUGCCGCGUGUGUGAAGAAGGCCUUCGGGUUGUAAAGCACUUUCAGUAAGGAGGAAAGGUUAAGUGUUAAUAGCACUUAGCUGUGACGUUACUUACAGAAGAAGCACCGGCUAACUCCGUGCCAGCAGCCGCGGUAAUACGGAGGGUGCGAGCGUUAAUCGGAAUUACUGGGCGUAAAGCGUACGCAGGCGGUUUGUUAAGCGAGAUGUGAAAGCCCCGGGCUCAACCUGGGAACUGCAUUUCGAACUGGCAAACUAGAGUGUGAUAGAGGGUGGUAGAAUUUCAGGUGUAGC